rnacentral:RNase_P_RNA from 2 species
CGAGUAUGAAAGGCAAUCGCUGGUGUCCUUGAGGCACUUGAGGAAAGUCCGGGCUCCACAGGGCAGCGUGCUGGAUAACGUCCAGCAAGGGUGACCUUCGGGAAAGUGUCAUAGAAAAGAAAACCGCCGGGCAACCGGUAAGGGUGGAAAGGUGCGGUAAGAGCGCACCAGCAGUCAGGUGACUGGCUGGCUUGAUAAACCCCACGCGGAGCAAGACCAAAUAGGGAAGGGAUGAUGCGGCCCGCGGAACCUUCCGGGUUGAGUCGCUUGAGCUUGCAGGUAACUGUAAGUCCAGAUAAAUGAUUGCUGCCGCUUUGCGGUACAGAACUCGGCUUAUUGAGUACUCGCACG